rnacentral:misc_RNA from 1 species
UCUCCGUUGGUGAACCAGCGGAGGGAUCAUUAUAGAGUUUUCUAAACUCCCAACCCAUGUGAACUUACCUUUUGUUGCCUCGGCAGAGGUUACCUGGUACCUGGAGACAGGUUACCCUGUAACGGCUGCCGGUGGACUACCAAACUCUUGUUAUUUUAUUGUAAUCUGAGCGUCUUAUUCUAAUAAGUCAAAACUUUCAACAACGGAUCUCUUGGUUCUGGCAUCGAUGAAGAACGAGC